rnacentral:rRNA from 1 species
UACGUAGGGUGCGAGCGUUGUCCGGAAUUAUUGGGCGUAAAGAGCUCGUAGGCGGUUUUGUCGCGUCUGCCGUGAAAGUCCGGGGCUCAACUCCGGAUCUGCGGUGGGUACGGGCAGACUAGAGUGAUGUAGGGGGAGACUGGAAUUCCUGGUGUAGCGGUGAAAUGCGCAGAUAUCAGGAGGAACACCGAUGGCGAAGGCAGGUCUCUGGGCAUUAACUGACGCUGAGGAGCGAAAGCAUGGGGAGCGAACAGG